AUACGUAGGGGGCUAGCGUUAUCCGGAUUUACUGGGCGUAAAGGGUGCGUAGGUGGUUUUUUAAGUCAGGAGUGAAAGGCUACGGCUCAACCGUAGUAAGCUCUUGAAACUGGAAAACUUGAGUGCAGGAGAGGAAAGUGGAAUUCCUAGUGUAGCGGUGAAAUGCGUAGAUAUUAGGAGGAACACCAGUAGCGAAGGCGGCUUUCUGGACUGUAACUGACACUGAGGCACGAAAGCGUGGGGAGCAAACAGGAUUAGAUACCCUGGUAGUCCACGCCGUAAACGAUGAGUACUAGGUGUCGGGGGUUACCCCCCUCGGUGCCGCAGCUAACGCAUUAAGUACUCCGCCUGGGGAGUACGCUCGCAAGAGUGAAACUCAAAUGAAUUGGCGGGG
rnacentral:rRNA from 1 species